AACGAACGCUGGCGGCAGGCCUAACACAUGCAAGUCGAACGAGAAUCUACUGAAAGAGUUUUCGGACAAUGGAUGUAGAGGAAAGUGGCGGACGGGUGAGUAACGCGUGAGGAACCUGCCUUGAAGAGGGGGACGACAGUUGGAAACGACUGCUAAUACCGCAUGAAGCAUAGGGGUCGCAUGAUUCUUAUGCCAAAGAUUUAUCGCUUCAAGAUGGCCUCGCGUCUGAUUAGCUAGUUGGCGGGGUAACGGCCCACCAAGGCGACGAUCAGUAGCCGGACUGAGAGGUUGAACGGCCACAUUGGGACUGAGAUACGGCCCAGACUCCUACGGGAGGCAGCAGUGGGGAAUAUUGGGCAAUGGGCGCAAGCCUGACCCAGCAACGCCGCGUGAAGGAAGAAGGCUUUCGGGUUGUAAACUUCUUUUAAGAGGGAAGAGCAGAAGACGGUACCUCUAGAAUAAGCCACGGCUAACUACGUGCCAGCAGCCGCAGUAA
rnacentral:rRNA from 1 species